GGCGGCCCUUGGGCUGAUCCAUAGGGACUCUAUUGUAUGUUGUGAACACUAAUUGAAAUCCUUACCCGCCGAGUCAGGCGGAACCUCUCCAUCUCCUGACCCCAAACAGGGGCUCUCUUCAGCAGUCUCCAAUAGGUUUCUUGUGACCGGGCCAAUGGGCCAGCUUUUAAUUUCAUUAACUGUCAUAAGAUACGCCACCCGUCACUGACUCCUCAUCCAUACAGCUCUUUCCCACCCCCCUCUACACACUACAGAUUUGCUCUCUUAGAGACUCCCUUGUCCCGUGGGAAUAUCAAUUCAAAGGGAUCCCAUUGAAUUGUGGGAUUGUCCCCAGUGGAUUUCUAAGCAGGAGUUUGUGGAGUCAAGUCAAGUGUGUUUCAUCUUGAAGUCUCUCCAAGGAAAUGGCUGCCUUUGCGAACCUUCAUUUCUUUUUGUUGGUGCUGUUCCUGGCUAUAACUGCUGCUGUCUGUCUGGAUGUUGGCACUGGAGAAUGGGGUUGCGGAAACUACCGAGGCUACUGCCGCAAGGAUUGUUUCCCCCAGGAAAAGUCUCUGGGGCCCGAAGACUGUGCUGAAGGCUUGGUCUGCUGCAUAUCAGGCAUGUUGGCAUAGCAAUUUGGCUUGAUCCGAGUGACUGGGCUGUGAAGAGAAUUUCUCGAGGACGGUUGCAGGAGAGCAGGCGACAAAGAGCACAAAACAGCAGCCCCUUCAUUGCAGCAAACAGCUUGCAAACAAUAAAACUAUUUCUCCUCGGCUUUUGCUCUGA